rnacentral:rRNA from 1 species
AACGAACGCUGGCGGCAUGCCUAACACAUGCAAGUCGAACGAGACCUUCGGGUCUAGUGGCGCACGGGUGCGUAACGCGUGGGAACCUGCCCUUAGGUUCGGAAUAACUCCCCGAAAGGGGUGCUAAUACCGGAUAAUGUCUUCGGACCAAAGAUUUAUCGCCUUUGGAUGGGCCCGCGUUGGAUUAGCUAGUUGGUAGGGUAAAAGCCUACCAAGGCGACGAUCCAUAGCUGGUCUGAGAGGAUGAUCAGCCACACUGGGACUGAGACCCGGCCCCGACUCCUACGGGAGGCAGCAGUGGGGUACAUUGGACAAUGGGCGCAAGCCUGAUCCCGCCGUGCCGCGUGUGUGAUGAAGGCCUUAGGGUUGUAGAGCUCUUUUACCCGGGAUGAUAAUGACAGUACCGGGAGAAUAAGCUCCGGCUAACUCCGUG